AGCCGGGCUAACUCACCAUAAACCCAGCUGAUACACACUGACUGUAUUAUAACGAAGAGAAGCAGAGUCAUCUGCAUGAUUAGUUAUCAAACAGCUGCCAACAUUUCUGCGGGACGAGGAGGUAUGUUGAAACACAGGGAUAUGUUGAAACAGAUCACUUGGGAGGUGCAUUAUUGAUCAUAUCUCGUUACUGUCAUAACGAUGGCCUUGAAAUUCUAUAUUUUAUAUCCUAUAUCCUUAUAGAAUGAUGACUUCAAAUGACCUCCCACCUCUGUGACCAUGACCAGGCCAAUGAAGAAGCUACCCACACUGAUGAUGAGGAGAAGGAUUUUACGCCGAUGGUCAACUAGGAAGAUGGAGGAUACAUGUCUGAGAUAGCUGUCACCAAAGUCUCCAGAGCUACAAACUGAAGGAGAGAUGAUGGGGAAGUUCAGUGGAAACUCUGUUCUUUUAAAUACUAGCUACUCAUUCACAGUUUCACAUCCAAAAGUUUAGUGAUGAUUGCAGCAUCUAUUGUAGGUUAUGUAAUAUUCCUUCGCAAAGAAAAUAUUCCGUAGACCUUCAGGGCCACUCUAACACACCUCACUGUCUAAACCCAGUAGGAUUAUCAUGAUGAAGAAGAAGAUGGCCCAAAGCUGUGGUAAUGACAUCAUGGCCACGGCACGAGGGUAGGCGAUGAAUGCCAGGCCAGGACCUGUAUGCAGCAAUACAGAAUGAUGACUUCAAAUGACCUCCCACCUCUGUGACCAUGACCAGGCCAAUGAAGAAGCUACCCACACUGAUGAUGAGGAGAAGGAUUUUACGCCGAUGGCCAACUAGGAAGAUGGAGGGAUACAUGUCUGAGAUAGCUGUCACCAAAGUCUCCAGAGCUACAAACUGAAGGAGAGAUGAUGGGGAAGUUCAGUGGAAACUCUGUUCUUUUAAAUACUAGCUACUCAUUCACAGUUUCACAUCCAAAAGUUUAGUGAUGAUUGCAGCAUCUAUUGUAGGUUAUGUAAUAUUCCUUCGCAAAGAAAAUAUUCCGUAGACCUUCAGGGCCACUCUAACACACCUCACUGUCUAAACCCAGUAGGAUUAUCAUGAUGAAGAAGAAGAUGGCCCAAAGCUGUGGUAAUGACAUCAUGGCCACGGCACGAGGGUAGGCGAUGAAUGCCAGGCCAGGACCUGUAUGCAGCAAUACAGAUCUCUCCAGGUUGUUGUGAUGCUUGGCUGUCUAGCUGCUCAAUGCUGUCCUCCAGGUAUUGCCACUGUUCUCACUCACACUGCAGUACACACUGCCACCAUCAGCUGUGUGUCUCCGCCAGUUCCGGAAAGUCCACUCCUUGCAUACGUACUGUAAAUAUGAUGAAUCAAAGAUUGGCAAGGAAAUCCUCUUCAUCUACACUGUCCAACUGCAUUGUCAUGGAGCUGGAACCAGCAGAAGAGGAUAGAGUGGCCUAAAAGUUGUAUGUUGCUGUGGUGCCAAACUGCUGCAGAACUUCACUUGGUAGUUUAUGCUGGUAACAGGUAUCACCAGCCAGCUUCAGUCCGUACCGCACCAGGAGUACGGAGUUGAGUGUGUAGUGACAUUCUAUUUCUUAAUAGACUUGACUUAACCACACUCAUUUGGCUGAACAGCCGUUCAACCUCCGCAUUUGAGUGUGGCAAGGAGAUGGCAGCGAGUGCAGCUUUGCACAGUUCUUCAAAUGUAUUUGACCUGGAAGAGUCUGUGUAGUUAUUCACUUCACUCCAAAACUCGACUGUAUUUUCAGUUGAGUCCCACCUAAACAGAUGGAUGUUUCUCCAUUUGGAAACAAUUUGAUCAAUUGUUUGCGAUUAGUACCCCAGUAGCUCAGCUACUUUAAUAAUUUCAGGGGUGCCUUUAUUGUACUUGAGCUUUUCCUUAACACUGAACAAGGCCAUGUUUCGCAAGGCGUCUAGGUUGUCUGGGAGCCUUGCUUGCAGCUCCUUGCUUAAAGCAACAAUGUAGUUGAUGCACUGUCUACAAAUAACCUUUUUGUCCUCUGGCGCAAGACUGAGUUGGACACCGUGCUCUCGAAAAGGUACCCAAGGCAUCGUGAUGGACUGAGAUGUCCAUCAAUGGCAUCCUUCAGGACAUCAAUUUUUGCAAUAGGGUUGACUACUAGGCUGCUCAUUAAUUUUAAGAGGUGUACCAGAUUGUCCAAAAGCUGGACAGGAUCUGUUUGCUCUCCCUCAGCUGACUUCACUACAACUUGUAUGUCGGACAGGAUUGAUUUCCAGAAUGUCAGGUAGACAUAGUUGGUCUUGUCCAUCUACAUGGCGUGGAGCACAUCCACCAUGUAGCAAUGCUCACUGGCCUUGGUCAACUGAAAGUCAACUCAAACCCACAGUUGCUGGAGCAGACAGGGCUGGCAAAAAGUGCACUUCACUGACGUGUCGCGGUUUUGUCUCACCAGGGGUGCUGGUCGGAUUCGCGGUUAUCAUCGAAGGAAUGAGCGUUACACCGAGGCCUGUACUUUGGAGCGGGAUCGAUUUGCAUCAUUGGACUGAGCUUGCUGUCAUUGCAGGCAUCCUCCUCUCUCAUUUGGAACCCUUCCUGCAGGCUCAUCCUGACAUGACCCUCCAGCAUGACAAUGCCUCCAGCCAUACUGCUCAUUCUGUGCGUGAUUUUCUGCAAGACAGGAAUGUCAGUGUUCUUCCAUGGCCAGCGAAGAGCACGGAUCUCAAUUCCAUUGAGCACGUCUGUGACCUGUUGGAUCGGAGGGUGAAGGCUAGGGCCAUUUCCUCCAGAAAUGUCCUGGAACUUGCAGGUGCCUUGGUGGAAGAGUGGGGUAACAUCUCACAGCAUGAACUAGUCUGGUGCAGUCCAUGAGGAGGAGAUGUACUGCAGUACUUAAUGCAGCUGGUGGCCACACCAGAUACUGACUGUUACUUUGAUUUUUACACCCCCUUUGUUCAGGGAGACAUUAUUCCAUUUCUGUUAGUCACAUGUCUGUGGAACUUAUUCAGUUUAUGUCUCAGUUGUUGAAUCUUGUUAUGUUCAUACAAAUAUUUACACAUGUUAAGUUUGCUGAAAAUAAAUGCAUUUGAGAGUGAGAG